rnacentral:rRNA from 1 species
UACGUAGGUGGCAAGCGUUGUCCGGAUUUAUUGGGUUUAAAGGGUGCGUAGGCGGCCCUGUAAGUCAGUGCUGAAAUAUCCCAGCUUAACUGGGAGGGUGGCAUUGAUACUGCGGGGCUAGAGUAUAGAUGAGGUAGGCGGAAUUGACGGUGUAGCGGUGAAAUGCUUAGAUAUCGUCAAGAACACCGAUAGUGUAGACAGCUUACUAAGCUUUAACUGACGCUGAGGCACGAAAGUGUGGGGAUCAAACAGG